rnacentral:rRNA from 1 species
CCUACGGGGGGCUGCAGUGGGGAAUAUUGGACAAUGGGGGGAACCCUGAUCCAGCCAUGCCGCGUGUGUGAAGAAGGCCCUCGGGUUGUAAAGCACUUUCAGUGAGGAAGAACGCCUGGUGGUUAAUACCCAUCAGGAAAGACAUCACUCACAGAAGAAGCACCGGCUAACUCCGUGCCAGCAGCCGCGGUAAUACGGAGGGUGCGAGCGUUAAUCGGAAUUACUGGGCGUAAAGCGCGCGUAGGUGGCUUGAUAAGCCGGUUGUGAAAGCCCCGGGCUCAACCUGGGAACGGCAUCCGGAACUGUCAAGCUAGAGUGCAGGAGAGGAAGGUAGAAUUCCCGGUGUAGCGGUGAAAUGCGUAGAGAUCGGGAGGAAUACCAGUGGCGAAGGCGGCCUUCUGGACUGACACUGACACUGAGGUGCGAAAGCGUGGGUAGCAAACAGGAUUAGAUACCUCAGUAGUC